rnacentral:rRNA from 1 species
UACAGAGGUCCCAAGCGUUGUUCGGAUUCACUGGGCGUAAAGGGUGCGUAGGUGGCGGGGUAAGUCUGAUGUGAAAUCUCCGAGCUUAACUCGGAAACUGCAUCGGAUACUGCCUUGCUCGAGGGUUGGAGGGGGGACUGGAAUACUUGGUGUAGCAGUGAAAUGCGUAGAUAUCAAGUGGAACACCAGUGGCGAAGGCGAGUCCCUGGACAACUCCUGACACUGAGGCACGAAAGCUAUGGGAGCAAACAGG